AUGCUCAGCCCUACACGCUGCGUCCCAUAUGCACUCAUCCCUAUAGGUUACACCUUGCACACCCAGCCCUGCUCCCUGCAGCCCCUACACACCAUACCCUACACCCAGCCCUAUGCGUUGUCACACAGCUCUCCAUGUUGCACCCUACACCCCUGUCCACGCUUCCUGCACGCUGCACACCCAGCCCUGUGCACCCAGACACCCCUUGCACGCCCCGUGCGCGCACACACAAACGCUCACCCCCACCUUGCACAAGAAGACACCCUCCCUGCACGCACAGCAGAGGGCAGCCCCGUGGGGUGCAUGGGACCUAUAGGGGACUCCCCACCCAGCACCCCUGUGCUGCACCAGUUCUACCAGCGUUGCCUACGGCUGAAGGAACACAUCGGCUCCCACGGCGUCUGGUGCCUCUGCCUCUUCAUGAUGGUCACCAUGAGCUGUGCCAUGGCAGUCCCGCUGUUCUUCUUAAUCUACCUGGUGAUCAUCCCCAUGUGGACCGUCAUCAUGGUGCUGAUGUUCUUGUAUCCUUGGCUGGGGGAGGCAGAGCCCUGCCCUGGCACGCAGGCACACGUACUGCACCACACAGGCGGUCGCAUGCAGGAGCCUAUUCCCCUGCCUACACGUGGCCCCAGGGCCAGCACCACCCACAGGUGCCCACUGCACGGGGGCAUGUGGUGGCCCCCUUGGCCAGCCCACCUGCGUCUGUUUGUCCUUGACUCACUGCUCCAGCAUCAUGAUGACCUUCCUCGCCAGUGUCUGCCUGAGCCUGAUUCAGCCCUGGAUCCCCUCCAUCUCCCAAGCACUGCAUACUUCGUGGUUGCAGGUUGCUACCAUGGCCAAAAUCUGGCACAACAAGCAGGAGUCGAUGGCAGGGCCUGGGGCCAUGGUCGACAGCGAAGACUCUGAAUGAGACUCUCACACCCAGCUCAGGUUGUGAUCCAGCCAGAGAAGCGGACAAUAAAGACCUUCACUCCAAGCUUCUGGUAACUGAU
rnacentral:lncRNA from 1 species